UUUCGUUUAAAGGAGGAUGCAAUUUUGCCCGUGAAUGCAUUUUCUCAAAAUGCGUUUGCUUCAUUCCUUCUUUGCUAAAGAAUAUCAACGGAUUUGCUAAUGUGAGUUGCUUUUAGACUGGUCUGUGGUUUUCCGUUCUUUUUAUUUCUUUCCUCCCCUUUGGGCAUUUUUUUUUUCUGCUUAAAAAAAGACAAUCCUUUUAUAAAUAACUGGAAAAGGAAAUUACUCUAGGUCCUCUUUUUUUUUUUUUUAAAGCAUUUGCCUAAGUCGGGUUAUCUUUUGUCUUUAUCACUUCAUAAAGUAGCGCAAUUAAAGAUGGGAUGUUGCAUGGGUAUAAAGGGUGGAUCCAUAAUACGGCGACAUAAUACGCUAUAUUCUCGCCUGAAAGUUUGCAGCUAAAUUACGAUUUCGCCUUUCCUAGACUUAAAAAUCAAUGUUUUCUCAAUUAAAGGGAAUUUUAAUGCUUUACUUGCGAGUUGUUAAAGGCGCUGUAAAUUUUAUUGUAAUGCUUCUUGGCUUCGGAGUAGAUGCAGGCGACCGGUUGAUUCUCGUGGUCUUUUUCCUCUCAAAGAACCUAGUCCAGGAACUUCCAGUGUGUCAGAUCAAAUCCAAGCAACAAAGGUAAGGAGGGUUUCGAGAGAGACGGGGCAAAGGGUGGGGAGCCCGCCAGGGGAGCCCUCCAGCGCUAGAGGCCAUUGUCUUGUAUAUUUUCACCUCUCUGUGUCCCGCCUCCAGAAAGUGACAGAAGUGUCCCUUUUCACUCUAAUCUUUCUCAAAGGGGAGCACGUUCGACUCCCAUCUGCUCUGUGAUGGCCAGAAAAGAAGCUGCAUUUGGGGAGCAUUCUAGACUGUCUCCAGUUUCCCCCUUCCCUUUCUCUUCUCCUUAUUUUGCCAAAAUUUAAGUCUGAACUCUUUCACAAAUUCUGCCAUAUUUUAUAUGUGUUCUGACCUCUAUGUCAGAACUCAUUCCCCCACCCUCAAGAGCGCUCACUGUUUACAGAUGUUUUCUCCUUCCACACGGUCCCACCUAGUAAAAGUUCCUGCAGAGAAUUAACUGUGGUGUGUUAAUAGCCCAGGUCUGCUACUGCUCUCUCCUGCAAAGCUGAAAUCUGGUAAAGGUGGAGAAUGGCAUUGAACUUAUGUUGGGUAGCUGCUCCAGGCCCACAGGAGCCCAGACCUGAGCAUUCCAGGCCCGGGGAUUGGGUGGGAAGAAAGGUAGUGAAACUUUCAGGAUGUAAGGCAGAGAGGAAGAUAAGAAAAUGUGGCUAGAACAGAUCCUAAUAAGAGAAGAAUAGGGGAAGGCAGAAAAACGAGCCUUUGGGACCUCUUUGUAAUUUAAAAAGAAAUAAUAAUGAAGGGAAAUGGAGUAUCUAAAGCUUGCUAUUACAUUUUUUUAAACCCAAUGUCUGUUUAAGAACAAGUCCUCAGAGAUGCCAGCAAGGGCCUGAGUUUCCAAAUGGAACUGCUCACAAAGUUCCUUUGCAGUUCCCUCUUGAGUUAAUUUGCUGGGAAUGUGAAGACUGGGGAGAGGGCUCUGUGUGUGGUGUACCAAGGGCUCCAGUGAGAGUAUGAUGGGAAGGGGCACCUAGAUAUAAUGAGGCUGCUGUUUGAAGCUGAAUAGAGAAGUGGGGAAGGGGGAGAAAGCCGCACAACACUACGGUGCACUUUAAAAUUAUUCACACCUACCUGCCUUUCCCCUUUAACCACACUAUCAAAUAUUAUACAUAGGUGGGGGAAAUUUCUAGUUCAUCAUCUUUUGUCUAUAGCCCCACCCAAUUGAUCCCCCUUUGCUUAGAAGCCUGACAUGUAAGCCUAGACCAUGGCCUUUUUAUCAAGUGAGUGGGGCUUUGUUAAUGUAUUUGUACUUUUCAGCUUUCAGUCUAAGUUUCUCGCUUUGGAGGAAGGAGGGGGUGCAAGAAAGGAGGGGGAGGGGAGCAGAACACAAAGACUAUCUAGUUCUCACCAAGCAGGUUUCAGAAUAGGAACUUAAUGGGAAGGGAAAAAAAUGAAAGAAUGAAGAAAAAAAAAAUAAAGAGUGUAGUGAAAAUUGCUUAUCACAACAGGUUUGCUUGUCUGGAAGAGAGGUGAUUCUGCGAAUAUUUUUCCCUUUGAGGAUUCUGUUUUCUUCUUGUUGAAACAUUUUCAAAUUUUAAUCCUUUAGCAGACAAAAACCUCAAUAUAAAUAUGACAUGGGCCACUGGCAAAAAAGCCGAACUUAAACUCCGUGCUGAGAGGAGGGUGUGUGUGUGUGUGUGUGUGUGUGUGUGAGGGGGGGGGUGGAGAGAGCCCUUUCUGAUUAAUAACUAGCAGGGUAAUGUUGAGGGCUUUUUCUGCCCGAUUGCCUUUUUGAAUUAGAGCCGAUUUCUUCACACUUCAAUAGUGCCUGUCUCCUUUAAAAUGACUGGCAGAUUUGUUUCUCUUUUUUUCUCUCCCUGAGACUUAAUGAUGUAAAUUUUCUAAUUAGUUAAAUCAUAUUGCUUAAAGGCCUAAUAUUUACCGUGUAAGAAAUGAUCAUCCUGAUUUGGACCUCUUGAAAUAUUCCGAGAAAUAACAUUUGGCUUUUAGGUUGAAGGAUGAGAGAAGAGGAAGCUGUGUUAGGGAUAGUAGUUUAGAGGAGAGAAGGCAUAGACCCCGGCAACAUGUUAAAUUAAUAGUUGAAGUUGAGCUGGGCUCACACCCCAAGUCCGCUUUUAUUUUUCAAUCAGCGAAGAUUUAAUUGGCAGCCCUCAGGCCGGGCGAUCUGAUAUUUUCUCAUUAGUUUCCCAUCACUAAUCUUGAGUGUUAGAUUGGCUUAAAGGUUGUCAACAUUUGACCAAUUUUAUUUAAGGGAAAAAAAAAAAUCCCGCAUUAUGGCUCCGGGAUGUGAGAUCUGCAAAUAAAUCCUGCUUGGAUCAGCGGAACUAACAGGCGAAAAAAAUGUUGACUAUUCAUCGUCGCAUUUAAUAAGUUGCAUUAAUGUAUAUUUCAAGGCUAGGGAGAGAGAGAUUGUACAAGAGCUGUGUAGAUGCAGAUGAAAAGAGGUUGAUGGGGAGGCGGCUGCAGUGAGCGCGAUGGGUAGGUAAAGUGAGGCAUAGGUACAUUUCGAACAGAGGGGUAAAUAACCCAAGUGGAAUAGCUGUUGAGGGUUUAGGACCUACAAUCCCUCCUCCCCUUCCUUUUGCAGCUGCGUGAAACUAACUGCAAAGCCGGUGUUGAAGCUCGGAGCCGCACGGCUGUCUCGUCCACAUAUAACAUCAGAGCGCCCCCUGCUGGCCAGCGGAGUAGACCGCUGCAGGUCAGCCCCCUGCGAAGCAAAUCUUGUUUUUCUAUGUCCCCCCGCCCCCCAUCACAGUGACUCCCUUCCACCAACCCCACCUCGGUUCUGCAGCAAAACCCCGCGGGAGAGAAAUAACUUGCAAAGGCUGAACAUUUAAAUGAAUAAAUAGUAAAAAAAAAAAAAUAAUAAAGUACGAAGGAACCCCCACCUUCACUUGGCCUCCGGGGAAUUAACUAUCAAAUGACUAGAAAAGGGACACAUUUUCUCUUUCUAAAUCCUUUUAUUCUCUGGGUGUUUGCUGUGAUUUGUUUGUUUGUUUUGGCCAAACUGUAGAUUCCGGAGUGUAAGGAAAUGUUUGUAAUAGAUGCUGUCAAAGUUUAAAAAAAAAAAAAAUCUGAUGGGGAAAGAGGUCAAUACAAAACAAUAUUUUGCAGCUUCGCAAAAUAAAACUCCUGAGGAGCUUGCACUGUUUCCGUAACGUCCCACAGAAUCGCUUUCGGAAUUCAGUGCCUGGUAUUGAAUGACCCUUUCCUGCACCGCAAAGAAAAUACUGGUCCCUGUCCGAUUUUUUCCUCCCAAAUAGAAAAUGUAUUCAAAAGUUGUCUCCAUACCUUGUCUAUCGACACACACACACACACACACACACACACACACACACACACGGAAACGGAAUUUUGCUGGAAACGGAAAGGGUAGCUGGAGCGCACCAAAAACAAACCGCCAAUGUCUUUGACAUUUGAUCAUAUUCUGGUGCUUCACGUCAAAUGCAAGCGUGGGACUAUUUGAGAGUGUCUGGAUUACUAUUUUUUUUUUCGACCGUUUUGGUGCAUACAGGCGUUUUCUCGGCUUCCCAAUUAAUCUUCACGGAUUUAUGACCGCUCUAACGCGAGGGCGCACAGGUAACGAGAGCCGGGGCAAUCUCCGGCUGGCAGACGCGGUGACUCCGCCGCCAGUCUCUACUCUUGGGAAAGGCGCUGGCAUAGCAGUCCUGACUCGGAGAAGUCUCCUGACCACAGCUAGACCCCACACACAGAGUGUAAACCUGCAGCGAGGAACGACUUUAGUGUGUGGGGAGUUUGGGGGUUGCUUUUGAAAUACCCGGAUUUCAGGAUUCUGUGCAAACUGCUGUCAGAAAUGGGGCGCGGGGGAAGGCAGGGAGGAAAGGGGGGUGUCUUGAUGUUCAUUUCUGGCCAGGGUACCAGGAGUGUCUCCUUUACAAACCGCUCUCUUCCCUUGCUUCUCCCUAGAACCCUCCUGUGUCACGCCUUCUCCAACCCUCCUCUUUGGGGACGCUCCGGACCGGGAUGGGGACCCCGGGGGAACAGGGAAGGUGCUCUGCUAGGACAAGUCAGAGGCCGCCCGGGUCUUCUGGUGUUUGAAGAAUUGCUGGGAUUAUUUUUGCUAACUGAGGUAAAUUAAAUAUACUCCAAGUUGUUCUCAUUUUUUUUUUUUUUUUUGCCCGUUUUAAAGAAGUUCAGUGAGUUCAAACUUACUUUAAAUGUAAACCCUGGUCUGGAGGAAGCAGUGUCUGCGGCUUGCCACUGAAGUUGACUUUUGGAAAGGUCUUCAUUAAGCUCAGAAGUGGAAGAGGAGUUAUCUGCAGACAAUAUUGGUUCCUUUAAAUAUGUAUGUAUAUAUAAAACACGUUUUAUAUAUCUAGAUCUAUCUACCUGUAACAAAGAAAAGGAAGCAAGCGUCCCCAAUGCAGUUGAAUCUGAGUAGAAAUGUUUCCAGUAAGACACUUACAGAUUAAGAAAAUAGGAACACCUCAUCGUAUUUGUCUCUGUUUGACUUAAUGAAAUUUGGAGACACUGACAGUCUGGUCAAUGUUCUACGUAAAUUAAUGCAAAGGUCUUUAGAAAGAGACUGAAGAUACCUCUUGCCAUUAAUCUUAAACCACUUGAAGAUUAUGAUUAGAUGAAUGAGAUCACUAAGCAUUAUCAUUUCAAAUAGCCGUUAACUGUCUCCACCCCUGUAUUGUGGCAACAAAAUAAACUCUCCAGGAGGAAUGGUGUUUCUUCCUUUUUUUAUCUUUGUUUUGGUUUUGCUUUAAGAAGAAGGGGAAAGCACAAGAAAAGAAAAUCAUCUCGAGAAAGUCUUGGAUCUCCUGCUGUUAAAAAGCUGCUGUUUGUUUCCGACUUCCCCAUCUUUUGCUACACAAGGAAAAGAAAUCGAAUGAUGUGUCCACCUUUGAUGAGAAGUAAACACUAACGACAACAGGGAAGCUGCAUUUGUUUUGUUUUCUUUUCCCCUGAAAAAAAAUUUUUUUAAGAAAAAAAAAAUCCACCAAUUUAGCGAGUUGAAAAUCGUGGAGAUGUAAAAGAUGUUCACGUGUCCACGUCUAUUCGCUGACUUUCACCACUUGAAUUUUGUAGGCUUUUGUGUCAAAUAGAAAUUAUGGAAAAGAGAAUUAGACACUUGCCAAGGAACAAUAUUAUACACUUUCAAGUAAACUCCACCUAAUCCUGUAUUUGAGUGCUGAGGGGUGUGUGUGCUGUUUUCCCCUAAUAAACCUCAAAGCCCUCAUUAGACAGAGAGAACGAGGGGUGGAGAACUCUAUUACUGGGCAUUCUGACAAAAAAAUGGAAGCAGCGCCUCUCUGCCCCUAGAGCCCCAGGAAAGUGCACCCCGAUAAUAUGGAAAAGCCGUGUGUUUUCCUUGAGAGCCCCGAGUUGGGCAGACCUGUCAGAGAAAUACGCAGAAAUUAACAUUUUGA
rnacentral:lncRNA from 1 species